GAUGAAGAACGUAGCGAAAUGCGAUAAGUAAUGUGAAUUGCAGAAUUCAGUGAACCAUCGAAUCUUUGAACGCACAUUGCGCCCGGCAGUAAUCUGCCGGGCAUGCCUGUCCGAGCGCCAUUUCUGCCCUCGAGCGAGUCCAGCAUCUAGGUGCUGGGCCCGCCCGGCGUUGGGGCACUACGGGAAGCCCUGUGCUGUCCCCCGUAGGCCCCGAAAUGAAGUGGCGGUCCUGCCGCGGCGCCCCCUGCGUAGUAUAACAGCUCGCUUCGGGACCCGGUGGAGGCCUGCCGUCAAACCUUACUCUCUAAGUUUGACCUCGGAUCAGGUAGGGUUACCCGCUGAACUUAAGCAUAUCAAUAAGCGGAGGA
rnacentral:misc_RNA from 1 species